UUCCGGUUGAUCCCGCCGGAGGGAACCCCUAUCGGGUUCAGACUAAGCCAUGCGAGUCGGCUGGGGGCACUUGCCCCUGGCGGCGCACGGCUCAGUAAUACGCGGUCAACCUACCCUGGGGACCGGGAUAACCUCGGGAAACUGAGGCUAAUCCCGGAUGGGUGUAGGGUGCUGAAAUGCCCCUACGCCGAAAGUAGGCGGGAAAUGGACCGCUGAGGCCCCAGGAUGGGACCGCGGCCUAUCAGGUAGUAGGUGGGGUAACGGCCCACCUAGCCUACGACGGGUACGGGCCCUGAGAGGGGGAGCCCGGAGAUGGGCACUGAGACAAGGGUCUAGGCCCUAAGGGGCGCAGCAGGCGCGAAGAUUCCGCAAUGCCCGAAAGGGCGACGGAGUGAACCCGAGUGCCACCCGCUGAGGGUGGCUGUUCCCCUGUGUAAAAAGCAGGGGGUAGGAAGGGGAGGGCAAGGCUGGUGGCAGCCGCCGCGGUAAAACCAGCUCCCCGAGGGGUUCCCACGCAUACUGGGCCUAAAGCGUCCGUAGCCGGCCCUGUAAGUCCGCAGUUAAAUCCGCCUGUAGACAGGCGGGCUGCUGCGGAUACUGCAGGGCUAGGGAGCGGGAGGAGCCGGGGGUAUUCCCGGGGGAGCGGUAAAAUGCGUAGAUCCCGGGAGGACCACCAGUGGCGAAGGCGCCCGGCUUGAACGCGUCCGACGGUGAGGGACGAAAGCUGGGGGAGCAAACCGGAUUAGAUACCCGGGUAGUCCCAGCCGUAAACGAUGCCGGCUAGGUGCUGGCCAAGGUUUCGACCUUGGCCAGUGUCGAAGCGAAAGCAUUAAGCCGGCGCCUGAGGAGUACGGCCGCAAGGCUGAAACUUGAAGGAAUUGACGGGGGGCACCACAAGGGGGUGAAUGCCUGCGGCUUAAUUGGACUCAACGCCGGGAAUCUUACCGGGGC
rnacentral:rRNA from 1 species